rnacentral:lncRNA from 10 species
UGACAGGAAAAAAAAUUAAGCACACAUCAAAUCUCUGAUUUCAUGGACAAUAUUGCAUAAGACAAAAAUAUUUUGUCUUCAGUUCCUGGCCUCAAGCCAUCCUCUCACCUCAACCUCUUGAGUAGCUGAGAUCACAGGUGUGAGCCACCAAGCCCUGCUAAGACAAGGAUGUUUUGUAAACUAAAUUUAAUUACAAAAAAAGUAUGAAGUAAAUAAUAAUAAAGGUGGUAAAGCUGUAGAGAAAAUCAUAAAGUUGGUCUAGAAAUGUCUGGGGUCUGGAUGACAUAAUACUACAGCACCAUGCAGCUUCAUUCUCAGUUACUCCCAGGAAAUUAGAGUCACAUAACACUGCAGAAAGAACAAUUCAGAAUCUUAGACCCGGGCUUUAGCCCUGGAUGUGUCCACUCCUAGGACCCCAAACAUCUCUGUGACCUCCUUGCUGGAGGUAAAUCCAACCUUCCCAGACGUGUGAGAACACUAGGAACAUCCUGCACACAUAGAGGGGUUUCUCUGUCACAGAGAAAAUAACACCAGGUUUGAGGACCCCAGGGACUCUCUGUGUGGUGCUGACAGACCCAAG